AUCUGAGUUUGAGAAGACUGUAUACUUGCACUUGUUGGAUGAAGUAGUCUAUACAUGUCAACAGGUUCAGCUGAUUGAUGAUGCCCUUCAGCUCAGCUAUGUCCUGAGUCCAUCAAUUACUAUUAGAUAGGUGUUGAGGUAUCCACUAUAACAGUGGAGCUGCCUGUUUUUUCUUGCAAUUCUCUCCUUUGAUGGAUUCCAUAUUUUGAGGCUCUGUUGUUAGGUCCCUACAUGUUAAAGACUGCUAUGUCUUUCUAGAGAAUUGACCCCUAGUCAUUAUGAAAUGCCCCUCUUACUCCUGGAAGUUGCGCUUGGCCACUUCAGACUCGGCCUCUGAAGCCUCCUCAUGCCGGCGUGAAGGAGUUAUCCAGCCUCUGCUGUUAUCCACAGAGCAGCAGCCAGGGACUAGUGAUGAAGUAUUAAGUGUCUGGUCAGAGCUCUGGGCCUUAUCUGUCUCCAUGUCGACUCCCGCGAUCAUUUUCGCCUUCGCUUAGUUUGUUGUCAAAUCCACCUCGAUGAAACCGUUUGCUUUUUCCUGCAAAUGCUUCCCAUUUUAGCAACCGCUGCUUGCAGUUUGGCCAGAGUCUAAGCUCUUCCCGGGCAAUUUGCAUAUGGUUUUUUCGUAGUGCAAAAGUCUCUCCUGGGGCUUCCACGCCUCCCGCAGCUCGGCCCAGCUCCGCCUGAGUCCCGGGAUCUGGGGCUGAGCCCCCGCCGCGAAAACCUCCGGAGCGCAGGAGAUGAGCGGUGGACGCUCGGGCCCGGAGCCCCUCGGCGCCCCGAGCUCGCGCCCCAGCCGCGGACGUUAAGGGUUUUGAUCCGUUACCCAGCAGCUGUCGAAAGAGGAGCACGACUGAACUUCCACCGACAAUCGUUUAAAUACUGCAGGCGAAGGAUGGGUUCUUAUUGUUCCUUCCGGCAAACCGGCAGCCUAGUCCAGCCUAUGAACUUGAACUUGCUGAAGGAGCUUCCGGCGGCCCCCUGCUGGCCACCGUCUUUGCCAGAGGGAGAGGCUGGAGUCACCCUGUUGGGCCCCAUUUCUGGGGCUGGCACCUGUUGGCCUCCCCGGCCGCGCCUACCUGGUCCCAUCCGGGGCUCUGCCCACUCCGCUGAUGAAGCGGGUAGAAGGGAGGCCGCAGGGACACUCUGAGGGAGCUGUGCCGGGCGGGCACCCCCCUGCUGCUCACCCUGGGGUGCGGCACCGAGGCCUGGUUGGGCUGCAAGGAGACCAACUGGGAUUCCCGGGCUGGUGACCGGGGAGACGGGGUAGAGGUGAGAAGCAAGAGUCCAGGAGGCCUCAGGCCCCAGCGCUGUUGGGGCUGCCGUUGUCGUUCUGGGUGGAGGUCUGGCCAAACUGGCUUUCGCCCCGAGUGAGGAAUUCCUGCUCUUUUUGGUGUUGGUGGAGAGGUCGCUGUUCACAGCGGGGACGGGGUUCGUCCCCUCUAUGCUAGUAGGGAGCUGCCUGGCGCAUUUCUGUGUUGCUGCCCUUCCGCGCUGUCUCCUGAUCCUGUUCAGGCUCUGGGUGGCUCCUCUGAGUCUUCUUAGGCGGUGAAAGAUGGGAAAGGCAGGUUGCUGAAACCACUGCUGCUCCGGGCUGGCAGAUGAGCUGUUCCUCCUGGGAUGAAAGAGAACCCAGGAGCAGGCAAGUGACCACGGUGUCCUCAUAUGCCUCGGCAAGUCCUGGAUCUCUUCCUGUCUGUAACCCAUGGAUACCAUGAACUUAGUUUGCAGGGGGUCCUCCCAGUGGGAGAGUGGCUGCAUGCAGCCCUUAAGUUCCUCACCUUCAUGACCCACAUUCAUCCAUGGAUCCCUCACACUGUGCUCUGAACAGGGCCUCUCUUGCUGCAAUUGACAAUGAGAAAUUUCUUCAGCAAGUUUUCACUCUCCAGGGACAUGGAGGAGGGAAUGGAAUACAUCCCGCUCAGUACCUGCUCUCAUAGCUCCUUGACGUUCUGUCCAUCGAAAAAUAAGGAUCCACUUCCCAGUAUAUAUAGGAUAACUCCUAGACUCCAUGCAUCCACCAGCUCAUAUCUGUGGCUCUAGAAGAAUUAUAGGGCAGCCUAAGGGGACUGCCACAAAAGGUACCCAGCUUGCUGUGAAAGGUGAAUUUAUUCCUGAACCCAACCUCUGAUGUUCAUGUUCACAUGGACAAUACACUUCUGGUGACAGCUUGCACAGCAGACACUUUUGGUGGAAUUUGCUUCAGGCCUCUUGCUUGCUCUGAGUAGGUAUUCACAAACUUCUCGCUAGCGUGCUUCGUGAUGAGACAGAGAUUCCUCAUUAUCGAUCACAGCAAAUCCUUCACUAUAUUGGGGUGAUCAGAGCCUUAAUGAUUCCUACUUUGUGGAUGGUGUCUAGAGGCUGGAGGAGAUCUGCUGAGUCUAAUCAAUAAACUUCACAGCUGCUGCUUUCCCA
rnacentral:lncRNA from 1 species